GCAAUAAAGCUUUCUCUUAAAAUCCAUACUAAUACUAUAAAUGCGAAAGUGUGUCUGUCUGUCUGUCUGCUACGUUUUCACGGCUCAACCGCUGAACCGAUUUUAAUGAAAUUGGGUACAGAGUAAGCUUACAGCCCGGGGACGGACCUAGGCUACUGUUUAUCCCGGAAAAUCAAAGAGUUCCCACGGGAU